rnacentral:tRNA from 1 species
GGGCCGUUAGCUCAGCUGGGAGAGUGCUGCGUUCGCAAUGCAGAGGUCGAGGGUUCGAUCCCCUUACGGUCCA